rnacentral:lncRNA from 1 species
AAUGAUUGUCACCCAAGCAAUAUCACUUGCCACGUCGGCACGCUGCGUAGUAAAAUAUAUAUUUUUCGGUUGAUUUGUAAUACACACGUGUUAGAUAGGUUAGUCGUUAGUUUGUUUACAAAUUAUAACAACAGAGCAGCAGAUUGUUUUAUAACUGCGAAAACUGUACAGUAUUGUUUAGUGUAAGUUCAAUAUAAUAUUAUCUCAUAAUGGCUAAUAGUGAAAAGAGUGAUGGAAAGAGAAAAAAAAAGGGAAGGAUGUACGAGAUGAAAAGCAGAGAACAAAAAAGCAAAAACAAAACAGGAGUAAUCCUGUGACUAAACGCCUGUACUUGGUGACAUCCAUUGUUUUCUUCUUUAAAAAUUGGACAUUACGCGACAAAUUUUUUAUUUUUUAAAAACAAUUUAACUCUUAUGCUUUGUUUACAUUAGUUUAUAUUAUCAAUACAUUUUUCUAUCAUUA